rfam:Myotis davidii contig70434, whole genome shotgun sequence.
CCAAUGGCUUUUUUGAAAGCCAAAUAAAGAAGCACAAUGGGGAUUU